CCUACGGGAGGCAGCAGUGAGGAAUAUUGGUCAAUGGGCGAGAGCCUGAACCAGCCAAGUCGCGUGAAGGAUGAAGGAUCUACGGUUUGUAAACUUCUUUUAUAUGGGAAUAAAGUGAGGAACGUGUUCCUUUUUGUAUGUACCAUAUGAAUAAGCAUCGGCUAACUCCGUGCCAGCAGCCGCGGUAAUACGGAGGAUUCGAGCGUUAUCCGGAUUUAUUGGGUUUAAAGGGGGCGUAGGUGGUUAGUUAAGUCAGCGGUGAAAGUUUGUGGCUCAACCAUAAAAUUGCCGUUGAUACUGGUUGACUUGAGUAUAUUUGAGGUAGGCGGAAUGCGUGGUGGAGCGGUGAAAUGCAUAGAUAUCACGCAGAACUCCGAUUGCGAAGGCAGCUUACUAAACUAUCACUGACACUGAUGCACGAAAGCGUGGGUAUCAAACAGGAUUAGAUACCCGAGUAGUC
rnacentral:rRNA from 1 species